AGUAAGAUCAAUUGGGCGUUAUAACAGCAUCCUGAACAGGGAGAAUUAGUGUGAAAUGUUCUAGAAUGAUGCUGCCCCAGCCUCCAUGUGUUCAUUUCGUAAGCAUCAUUUGAGCACCUACAGUCCCUGCCUUCCCGGAGCUCACUGUUCAAGAGAGUCUGACAGUUGAAACAUCAGGUGCAAGGCGCUGUGAUAACGGGUGAGUCUGGGGCUGAGGAAGCACCUAGAAGAAGGCUGACUCCUAAAGGAAGCUAUAUCUAAGCUGAGGGCUAAAGGCUCAACAGAGCACGUUUGUGUCCAAUAUCCAUCUAUCACUUCUCCCUUGCAAUUAGAAUAUCAUUUUAUCCUGGUGGGCAGUGUCCAACUAAAAGACUACAUUUCCCAGACUCCCUUGUAGCUAGUAAGGAAUAAUGAGGUAUAAAUGGAACUGUACCGGGUUUCUUGGAAGGAGGUCUAUCUCGUCUGGGAGAUGCAGCCUGGUUCCUCCAUUUUCCUGCCUAGUACGUGAAACUGAUGGCUGGAAUUCCAGCAGCCAUUUUGUACCAUAAAGCAAACUCGAGGAUGGAAGCCAACUGCUGAGAAUGGUGGAGCAGAAAGUUAAAAGGAGUUUGCCUUCCAGACAACUGUGGACUGACCCUAAUGGAUACACCUACAUGUGCAGAGGCCCAGAGGAUGGACAGGGGCAGAAUCCAAACACCCAAGAGAAAGACGAGGAGACCCCCAGGACCUCACUCCAAGGAGACCAGGAGGUCAAUGGGCAGAGCUGGAAGGACUGGGCCACCUGGAGCCAGAUCCAGCAGCCCGUUUCCUCCAAUGCAUCACGUAAUAUGCUAUGGACAUGUUCUUCUGGAUGUACUUAUCUGUGAGUAAGACGCUUUAGAGCCAGAAAGAUAAGGGGUGGUGUGGAGUGGGGAAUCCUAACUCCACCAUUCCCUAGCUGUGUGACCUCAGGCACCUUCCUAAUGUCUCUGAGCUUUAAUAUGCCCAUCUGUAAAAUGGAACCAGAAUGGCCUACCUCAAAGAAUUAUUGCGAGAAUUCAACAAACUGUUAUAGUUAAAACACCAGGUACAAAGCAUGUGAUUCAAUAAAUGUAGUUUUUUUUUUCCUUUUUUUUUUUUUAAGAUUUUAUUUUUUCCU